AUCAUGCCCAAUACACUGCUUUUGCUUUAGGCAGCUCAGUAGUGGCAGUACACUUACGCUGUUUUUGUAUCUAUGGCUCAUGAUCGCCCCAACUGCUGGUCCAUGCCGGUAUUUUUAAUGCCUUACAGUUUCCCUGUAUUCUGUUGCUUGAGGAGACAUUUGUCCAUGUGCCAGUGCAAGCACCCCAGUCAAGGGUCUUCAGCCCCAGUCUCUGAAAUUGAAACGGUUUAUGCGGACUUUGUAAUAAGAGGAGCAGAAUCUGAGGUCACACUCAGCCCUGGCCACGAGGCCAGCCUCUCCAGGCCAAGAACUUCAUUCUGGAUCCUUUUGUAAGCGAUGGCCUCUUCUCCUUGGCUUCACAAUCAUCAAGUCAGCCAUCCUAAACCAAAAAAGGAGUCUCAUUUGGAGAAUUACUAGAACACACGUCCUGUUGCCCCCACUGGGUCUUAUUUCCCUUUGGAGAAACUUGACCCCAGCCUCUGUCACUAUGCUCAAGUGCAUGUUGUAGGAUCCUAAUUCCCCAACUAUGCGUGGACCCCGUGACCGCUGCCGUGGAAUGGAGAAGCCCUAACCCCUGGACCACCAAGGAAUUUCCUCUAACGAGUGACCUGAGUGGGUGAGGGCUUUCCUCAUCAGAAGGACCUACAAGAAGAGCAGCAAUGUUAAGGGGGAAACCAAUAAGUUUGAGGUUGAGGUGCUCCUGGGAAGCCCCAGCACAGAUGUCGAGAAAAAGGAACAUUGUCUCUAUGGGUUUCCGGAUAUGGGGGAACAGCUUCUAGGCUGGAAAUUGAGAUGUAGAUCGAACAACAAGUAGUAAUCAUUAAAGAUAGGAGAGCCUGCAAUCAGCCAGGGAGGACUGUACAGAGGGGAGAGAGGAGGGGCAGGGCCAAAGGCCAGAAAACACCCAGGUGUGGGGCUGAGUGGGCUGGUUGGCGGAGCAGAAGCAAAGGAGCCCACACAGGAGGCAGAGAAGCAGCUGGCAUGCCCUUGGAGGGGUCAGAAUGUGAGGAGGUAUCGACACAUGAGAGUUUUCCAUAGGGACUAGUCAGAGGGGACCAAUGCCACCCAGAGGUCCAGAAAGUAGGGGCUGGAAGGGCCUGUGGCUUCUGCCUCAGCAGAGGGGGGGGAAUGGGAUGAGGAGGGACUCAGGGGGAAGGGAAGCUGACCCUGGAAAGGGAGAGCUCUCCUUGGAGGAUGGCGCCUGGAAGGAACAGACCCAGGGAAGACACCCCCAGGAGAGGCAGGGUCCUGGAUUCAACGUGGUGAGAUGAGUCAAGAGCCAAUGAAAAGGGAAAUAUUUACAGUUCAGAGAGAGGAGUGGAUAACUGAGAGAGAACCUUCUGGAGGGGACCAGGAGUGGUGGGUUUCCCUUAAAACAGGUAAAGAGUCUGUAGGAGUAAUGAAUCCAUUUUCACUGCCAAAUUCAGUCAAAGAAGCUGUCUGGGAGAGCCAAGAAACCUUUUAUUUUGUUCCUUAGGGGUUUAAUUUUCUCCCAUCCCACCAUGCUCUGUAUAAAGUUUACAAGGAUCAUCUAAGCAAUUAUCCCAUCAGCGCACAAAGGACCAAGGGAACUAUUGUCGCACUGACUCUCAUGCGACUGACCAUAAAAAGGAGCCAGGAGGAGGGAGAAACAACAGCAUACAAAUCUCAUGGAGAAGUUCAGUGACUCAGGUCAGAGAAAGAAAAGGCAUCAGGUCAGCAUCGGAACCAUGCGGCUGCAGCACCCAUUUUUGUCCUCUGUCCAAGUCUUCAGCCUCUCCUUCUCCUCAGUCACUGUCCUCUGCACUCUGGCCUCCACCUUGGCUCGUGUUAUAAGUUCAUCCACCCGCCACCCUUUCUCCUGGCUGAUGGCUUUCUCCCUGUUCUUUGAAACCUAGCUUCCCUCUGCUGACUGAUUCAUCUGCAUCCACUGUUGACCCAGCAGGGAACCUGGGUUUGGAGCAAUGCAGAAAGGAGCAGAAGCUUCUGUGCUGUGUGAGCCCCCUGGAUGUGACUCCCUCAGAUCAGAAGCCGAGCAGCAUCUAAAAUCUGUUUCCUGUCUUUCACCUCCCAGCCCUGCCUGGGCUUCCAGCAGGUGGAAGUCACCCCUCCCCAUUGCUUCUCAUUCCCCCUCCUUGAAGAGAGACAGACAGGGACAGUGAGCCAUAGACAGUCAAAGAGAGACUGACUGAGGUUUAACGUUUUCCUUGGAGAUGCACAACAGAGACCACACCUAUUUCUCUGGGUCUCAAGUGUUUGAGAAUAUUGAGUCCCUGGGCUCAUCUCUCAACAGUUUAUCCUCCCCCAUUCUACCAUAUCCAAAAAGACAACUUAUUAAUAGUUUAAAGGAUGAGGUCAGGUCUUGUAUGGGACCAUUUAUUAUUUGAAUAAUAAUA